GGCCCGUUAGCUCAGUUGGUUAGAAGCGUCGUGCUAAUAACGCGAAGGUCGUGGUGUUCGAUCCCCCCACGGGCCA